rnacentral:rRNA from 1 species
ACGUACGCUGGCGGCACGCCUAACACAUGCAAGUCGAACGAAGUAGCAAUACUUAGUGGCAGACGGGUGAGUAACAUGUGGGUAUCUGCCCUUUGGCCUGGAAUAACACGAGGAAACUUGUGCUAAUACCGGAUAAGUCUUUACGGAGAAAGCUUUAUGCACCAUUGGAUGAGCCCGCACUUGAUUAGUUAGUUGGUAGGGUAAUGGCCUACCAAGACUGUGAUCAAUAGCUGAUUUGAGAGGAUGAUCCCCCACACUGGUACUGAGACACGGACCAGACUCCUACGGGAGGCAGCAGUGAGGAAUAUUGGACAAUGGAGGCAACUCUGAUCCAGCCAUGCCGCGUGCAGGAAGACGGCCCUAUGGGUUGUAAACUGCUUUUAUACAGGAAGAAUGGUACCUACGUGUAGGUAUUUGACGGUACUGUACGAAUAAGGAUCGGCUAACUCCGUGCCAGCAGCCGCGGUAAUACGGAGGAUCCAAGCGUUAUCCGGAAUCAUUGGGUUUAAAGGGUCCGUAGGCGGUUUUUUAAGUCAGAGGUGAAAUCCUGCAGCUCAACUGUAGCAUUGCCUUUGAUACUGAAAGACUUGAGUUAUUGUGAAGUAGUUAGAAUGUGUAGUGUAGCGGUGAAAUGCAUAGAUAUUACACAGAAUACCGAUUGCGAAAGCAGAUUACUAAUAAUAUACUGACGCUCAGGGACGAAAGCGUGGGUAGCGAACAGGAUUAGAUACCCUGGUAGUCCACGCCGUAAACGAUGGAUACUAGCUGUUCGACCAACAUUGGUUGGUUGAGUGGCUAAGCGAAAGUGAUAAGUAUCCCACCUGGGGAGUACGCUCGCAAGAGUGAAACUCAAAGGAAUUGACGGGGGCCCGCACAAGCGGUGGAGCAUGAGGUUUAAUUCGAUGAUACGCGAGGAACCUUACCAGGGCUUAAAUGUAAGUUGCAUAGAUCAGAGAUGGUCUUUUCUUCGGACUACUUACAAGGUGCUGCAUGGUUGUCGUCAGCUCGUGCCGUGAGGUGUCAGGUUAAGUCCUAUAACGAGCGCAACCCCUGUCGUUAGUUGCCAGCAAGUAAAGUUGGGUACUCUAGCGAGACUGCCGGUGCAAACCGCGAGGAAGGUGGGGAUGACGUCAAAUCAUCACGGCCCUUACGUCCUGGGCUACACACGUGCUACAAUGGCCGGUACAGAGAGCAGCCACUACGCGAGUAGGAGCGAAUCUAUAAAACCGGUCUCAGUUCGGAUCGCAGUCUGCAACUCGACUGCGUGAAGCUGGAAUCGCUAGUAAUCGGAUAUCAGCCAUGAUCCGGUGAAUACGUUCCCGGGCCUUGCACACACCGCCCG